rfam:Formosa agariphila KMM 3901, complete genome
GGUCUGGUAGUUCAGCUGGUUAGAAUACCUGCCUGUCACGCAGGGGGUCGCGGGUUCGAAUCCCGUCCAGACCG